CCUACGGGUGGCAGCAGUGAGGAAUUUUGGUCAAUGGGCGAGAGCCUGAACCAGCCAAGUCGCGUGAGGGAGUACUGCCCUAUGGGUUGUAAACCUCUUUUGUCGGGGAGCAAAAGCCGGACGUGUCCGGCUGUGAGAGUACCCGAAGACAAUGCAUCGGCUAACUCCGUGCCAGCAGCCGCGGUAAUACGGAGGAUGCAGGCGUUAGCCGGAUUUAUUGGGUUAAAAGGGUGCGCAGGCGGAUUUUUAAGUCAGCGGUCAAAUCGUGGGGCUCAAUCCUAUCCAGCCGUUGAAACUGGGGAUCUAGAGUGUGCGAGAGGUAUGCGGAAUGCGAGGUGGAGCGGUGGAAUGCAUAGAUAUCACGAAGAACCCCGAUUGCGAAGGCAGCAUACCGGUGCACAACUGACGCUCAGGCACGAAAGCGUGGGUAUCGAACAGGAUUAGAUACCCCAGUAGUC
rnacentral:rRNA from 1 species